UUAACUCAAAUUUGUAUGGAGUUGAAACGUUUGCCUACGUUUGCCGCUAGGGGCGCUGUUCCAACUGCAUACAAAUUUGAGUUA
rnacentral:pre_miRNA from 1 species